UACGUAGGGGGCGAGCGUUGUCCGGAUUUAUUGGGCGUAAAGAGCUCGUAGGCGGUUGGGUAAGUCGGGUGUGAAAACUCAGGGCUCAACUCUGAGACGCCACUCGAUACUGCUCUGACUCGAGUCCGGUAGGGGAGCGUGGAAUUCCCGGUGUAGCGGUGAAAUGCGCAGAUAUCGGGAGGAACACCAGUGGCGAAGGCGGCGCUCUGGGCCGGAACUGACGCUGAGGAGCGAAAGCGUGGGUAGCAAACAGGAUUAGAUACCCUGGUAGUCCACGCCGUAAACGUUGGGCACUAGGUGUGGGGCUCUAUCGACGGGCUCCGUGCCGUAGCUAACGCAUUAAGUGCCCCGCCUGGGGAGUACGGCCGCAAGGCUAAA
rnacentral:rRNA from 1 species